ACGUGGAAGACCACCACAGAGCUGGAAUCGGGGAGUUAGAAAAGCGAUUAGCGCUCGAAAUCUAAAUGAAGACCUAACUCAGGACAGAAUACAAUGGCGUUUGGGAGUCGGACAACGUCGUAAGACGUUAUGAAACCGAAUAUAUGUAUACUAAAAUAGCUUCAGA
rnacentral:lncRNA from 1 species